rnacentral:rRNA from 1 species
GAUGAACGCUGGCGGUAUGCUUAACACAUGCAAGUCGAACGGGAUGCUUAGGCAUCUAGUGGCGGACGGGUGAGUAACGCGUGAGAAUCUGGCUCCAGGUCGGGGAUAACAGUUGGAAACGACUGCUAAUACCGGAUGUGCCGAGAGGUGAAAGAUUUAUUGCCUGGAGAUGAGCUCGCGUCUGAUUAGCUAGUUGGCGGUGUAAGGGACCACCAAGGCGUCGAUCAGUAGCUGGUCUGAGAGGAUGAUCAGCCACACUGGGACUGAGACACGGCCCAGACUCCUACGGGAGGCAGCAGUGGGGAAUUUUCCGCAAUGGGCGAAAGCCUGACGGAGCAAUACCGCGUGAGGGAGGAAGGCUCUUGGGUCGUAAACCUCUUUUCUCAAGGAAGAAGAAAGUGACGGUACUUGAGGAAUAAGCAUCGGCUAACUCCGUGCCAGCAGCCGCGGUAAUACGGAGGAUGCAAGCGUUAUCCGGAAUGAUUGGGCGUAAAGGGUCUGCAGGUGGAACUGAAAGUCUGCUGUUAAAGAGUUUGGCUUAACCAAAUAAAAGCGGUGGAAACUACAGAACUAGAGUGCGGUAGGGGCAAAAGGAAUUCCUGGUGUAGCGGUGAAAUGCGUAGAUAUCAGGAAGAACACCGGUGGCGAAAGCGUUUUGCUAGACCGUAACUGACACUGAGGGACGAAAGCUAGGGGAGCGAAUGGGAUUAGAUACCCCAGUAGUCCUAGCCGUAAACGAUGGAUACUAGGCGUGGCUUGUAUCGACCCGAGCCGUGCCGGAGCUAACGCGUUAAGUAUCCCGCCUGGGGAGUACGCACGCAAGUGUGAAACUCAAAGGAAUUGACGGGGGCCCGCACAAGCGGUGGAGUAUGUGGUUUAAUUCGAUGCAACGCGAAGAACCUUACCAAGACUUGACAUCCUGCGAAUCCUGGUGAAAGCUGGGAGUGCCUUAGGGAGCGCAGAGACAGGUGGUGCAUGGCUGUCGUCAGCUCGUGUCGUGAGAUGUUGGGUUAAGUCCCGCAACGAGCGCAACCCUCGUUUUUAGUUGCCAGCAUUAAGUUGGGCACUCUAGAGAGACUGCCGGUGACAAACCGGAGGAAGGUGAGGAUGACGUCAAGUCAGCAUGCCCCUUACGUCUUGGGCUACACACGUACUACAAUGCUACGGACAGAGGGCAGCGAGCCAGGGAUGGCAAGCGAAUCCAGAAACCGUAGCUCAGUUCAGAUCGAAGGCUGCAACUCGCCUUCGUGAAGGAGGAAUCGCUAGUAAUUGCAGGUCAGCAUACUGCAGUGAAUUCGUUCCCGGGCCUUGUACACACCGCCCGUCACACCAUGGAAGUUGGUCACGCCCGAAGUCAUUACCCCAACCGAAAGGAGGGGGAUGCCUAAGGUAGGACUGGUGACUGGGGUGAAGUCGUAACAAGGUAGCCGUA